GGUCGUUUGGCGCAAUUGGUUAGCGCGUGGUGCUAAUAACGCCGAGGCUGUGGGUUCGAGUCCCAUAAUGACCA
rfam:Taphrina deformans PYCC 5710 genomic scaffold, scaffold00229